ensembl:lncRNA
GCCGUGGAGAAGCGAGGAGUCAUGGGAGAGAUUGAGGACACUGUCAGGAGUCCUCAUGCUGGCAUAUGGCAAGCUGUUUUAACGUGUAAUCCUUAAAAUUGAGCACUUCUCCUUUGCCCGAGAUAAUCCAUCCACCUCACAGUUUUAUCACACAGCACAAUGUCAUAGAUGUAACCACACCAGCCCAGGACCUCCACAUCCAGCAUCUUCACCUCCAAGAUCGUCUGAGACCAGCCACUCGGACAGCUGCUGCCACAAUCAUUUUGCAUAACCAAAGAACUUCUGCACAAACUGUCAGAAACCGUCUCAGGGAAGCUCAUCUGCAUGCUUGAAUGUAAAUGAAUGUAAACUUUAUGAAUGAAAAGAGCGCAUAUCAAACACCGCAUCGCUGUUGCCUCUCUGCGCAUCUCUCAGAAAUCAGAGCUUGGCAAGAGUAAUAUCAACUAAAAUAAUACAUCAUACACUUUCUACUGUUUGUGUAUAUUUAAAAGCCAAUGAUUUAAACCUUAUAGGCUAUGAUAUGAUACAAGAAUGAAUGGAAUAAGCACAGCGUGAUCACCAAUCAAACAGCCGUGUUGCCAUCUCUGCACGUCUCUCAAAAACCAAACCAGCUCUCUGUCAAGAGUAGGCUGAUAAUCAGCUUAGAUACAGAUACAUUUUCUACUAGGCCUUCAUGUUUGCUUCUUUAUCUUUUGCUUGUUU